ACCUCAGGGUGCAGGGAGGUGAGUACUAUGGGCCAUUUGCGGGCAGGGGAGGUAGUUCAGGGUGCAUGGAGGUGGAUACUAGGAGCUAUGUGUGGGCUGAGGUAGCUCAGGGUGUAGGGAGAGGGGUAUUAGGGGCUGUGUACUGGGAGGAUUACCCUGCAGUCCCUGUUCCCAGAAGGGUCUGCCAGCCAUGGAGCCGGGUCUCCCCAACUGGGGGGCUCUUACCAGCUGCCUCUACGGGAGCAAAGGUGUCUGGGAACUGAGGAACAGCUUCAACCUAGGGCACCAGCAUGAGUGAAAGAAAUGCUGCUGUUGCCUGUGCCGUGCACCAGCCAGAGCAGCAGCUGUCCCACACUCCCUGGCUCUGGCUUCGGCUUCCUGCCUCCAACCUGGCCAGGGGGCGGGGAGAGAAGGAGCAUGCGAGGUGUGGAGCUGCCUCUGGGAACUGCUUUGAUCUUGCGCUGCAGUUGGGGGCAGGGGGCAAUGCCCUCCAUGUCCCUAACUCUGUCCAUGCACUCAGGGCUUCUGCCCCACAGGGAGCACAAGGACUCGGGGCUCUGGGAUUCAGCCCUGUGCCUCCCUGCUUCAGCCCCACAGAGUGGCACCAAGGAUCAGGGCUUCAGCCACAGGACCCAGCAGCCCCCUUGAAAGGGCUCAUGGACCCCCUGGGGGCCACGGAUCCCCGGCUGAGAACCACCACUAUAGUGUUUCUGAUCCUCAUUCUGGAACCCUCAGCCCGGUGGCCUCAUUACCCUAGUGAUACUGGGUGCUUAGCAACACUGCAAUCAUACUGGUACAUGGCACCUGUUUGCCAGUGGCUGCUCUGUUAAGGAUUAUAUGGCAACUCAUCCCAAGUCAUGUGUCAUGCAUCCUCCUGUGGGGCUGAAGGGAGCACAUGUACAUGGGCUGUCUUGAUUGGGGCCAGCAUCAGCUGGUGGUUGUCUUUGUAACUAGAGGGGAUGGGCACUGAGGCUGGCUGUUUAUUCCUCUGGUAAUAGAGGAACUUCUGACUGGCAGUAGUGCCAGAGCAGGAUGACUUCCAUAUGUAUCUCUAGUACACGCUGGAUGAAUGACUGUGUGAUGGAGAUGGGAGGCUGGUGGUUCUCUUUGGUGGGUAUAUUUGUAGAGGGGUGAACUCAGGCCAGCUGGUUAUGUCUGGGGGUUAGGGGACUGCUGGCAGUUGCCAUGGGAGGGGCACAUCCUGACCAGCUGGUUGUUUCUUGUGAGGGUUUUGUGUUCUGGGCAUGAUGAGAGUCUGCAGCAAUGCAAUUGCUAGAGGGCAGCAGAGCUCAGGUAUUACAUCAGCUUAGGUGUUGGAUUUGCAGACAGCUCCAGGCCAGAAACAGCCCAAAUCAGCUUUUCUUCUUGUAUCAUGGAGUGCCUCCACCAUUCCCCAAUUCCUUGUCCCCUCAAGUUCUUACCACUCCCCUUGUGAACACACACACACCUUAUCCCCCUCUGCCCCUACAAUGGCAGUCCCUGCACGUCUGCUUGAUGAUGCGCUUGAUCUCCUCUGCUUCAGUGAAACCUGCCUGCAGCUGGACCCCUUCCUGCAACAUCAGAUUGUUCCUGUGGUGCCCCCUUAUUGAACAGCUCUGGGACAAGGACAUGAUGUUUGUCCUUAAAGGCUAAGUUCCCAGUGCCACUGAUCUCCUCUGAGACAUUCUAUCAUCUGCUCUGUACAGAUGGGCUGUGUUGUCUUCGCAAAAGUCCCAGGGGGCUGGACACUACCCUAAGCACUGGCCUCCUGGAGCUGCCUCCCACUCCCAUACCCACAGCGGUAAGGGCACUGCCUCCCCUACCUCUUUCUCAGCCCAGUCCAGCUCUGUGCCUCAGCCUGACCACUUUCUCUUUCCAGUGCACUGCGCACUCCUGCCCCUCCCCGCUGACUCCACGGCAUCUCCUAUCCUGCCUGCCUGCCCCUGCUCAGUACUCCCAGAUCAAUUCAGAUUUCCUUUUAAAUUGCCAUUCUCCUGUAAAAUGCCUUAUGGGCCCCAUGUUUGUGUCACAGUGAAGUCCAUAUCACAUUUGCUGUUUACAAGUAAAAAGAUGUUUUUUCUUCUCAUUUCUUCUCAAAACUCACCCUGGGCUGUGAGAGUCAAGCGGGAUGCUUUCCUUUUUGCACACCAUCAGUAGAGAAGGUUCAUCAGGACAGAUUCUGGCCUCAGUGCCACCUGUGCUGCUGCAUUCUAGCCGUUUGAUGUAACGGAUUGGAACUUUAGCAGAAUCUUUUACUAUGAUGCAUUGGCUGGAAGAGAAUCCAACUCAUUCUCUCUCAGCUGGCCUAACAGGAGUAAAAAGCUGCAAAGACUUAUUUCAGUCACAGAGAGGGGUGCUGGAGCAAUUUUUAGAGUGGGGGUGUUUAUGAUGAAAACCAUGUAUUUGGUGUUCAUUAUUACUACUUCAAGAUGAGGGUGUGGCAGCACCCCUCGUUCCAACACCACUGGUCACAGAAGUUGGCAGCUCUGACUCCACUACCCCGAUAGGAAGGGCCCAGAAAAAUGAGAAGGGGCCAUAGGUACAUAGUCACUUUACAGAAUAAGGAAGGGUCUACAUUAGGAAAUUAUCAGAUCUUCCCAGAGUUCCUCAACUGGAGUUGAUAGCUGUUUGGGUUUAGUGUAGACAGGACCAAGCCUUUAAGCCCUUGUUACUGAAAGCAUCCUACACUCAUCUCUAGGUCCCUUCCUUGACAGUAAUGUUUGCACUUUCAGCUGUCAUUUUAGCCCUGAUUGGCCAGGAUUAGGACAGUGUAUUGUCAACAACAGAUAACUUUCACCAUGUAAAAAAAUGUCUAACUUUUGUGGGCACAAGGAAGAUCUUGAGAGAAAAUGCCACAGGCACCAGAGAGGCUGGGAAGGGACCUGUCUGUGGUUUCCCCAUCCUGCCCCUACCAGGCUGGAAUUAAAUCUCACUCCACAGUGUGAGGAUGGACUGGGCUGGCUCUCCCUAUCCUGCUCUUUUCCUCUCCCUGCCAGGCUUGUGCCUCCACUCCAUGCUACCCACUAACUGCUCUCUCU